rnacentral:lncRNA from 7 species
GAUAACGGCGUAUAAUGCAGCCUUGGGAGCACUGCGUCCUCAAGCCCCCGGAUUAAGAAAAUGGACAAAACGCAGAACACAAAGGGAAGAGAAGAGACUGACUGGCAGCUCCAUGAAGGAACGUGUAUUCGUGAAUCCACCAACGUGACGUGACUUCAAGAUGCUCCCCAGAAAACAACCACAUCACUAAGUCAUAGAAGCACUUGCCAAAGAAGCAACACACCUUUGUGUGGCCAGCUGGAAGGAGUCUUCAGCUGCAGGCACAGUGUUUUUCCCAGAGGAGGGACCUAUAGGCAGAAAAGAUCCAGUAUAUCAAAGGAGAAUACUGGGCUGGCAAGAAGAAAGCAUGAAUGGAGAAUGCACUAUUAAAACAAGAAUUGCAAGAAUCUGUGGGAGGAUGCCCCUUCUAGAUCCUCAUGAACAGCCAUUCAUAGACAUGGGGAGUCGUUGGACUGCAUUUUAAAGACUCUCCUAUAAAAAAAAGUCUUAUUUUCCUCAUUCAUCCAGAUACAUCCCUCCCAUCAUAUGGAUACAUAUAUAUACAUAUGUCUCUGUUCAAUAUAUAUUCAAGUUUUGAUACUAAGAAAGUUUUCUGGACUGGAUAAUUUGAAGACAGAUAAAACUAGUCAAGAAGAAGUGGAAACGCCUAGAGCUGAUAAGGAGUUUGCACUCCAGCAUUUCAAGGCGUCACUUGCUUCCAGAGAUAAAUAUGAGCAAGGACACAAGAAAUAAAGGCAUUUUCUCCACCCAUAGAAAAAGAAGCCCCUGUCCAAGUCCUUGUAAGGAAUCCUUAUCUACGUAUGGAACAAAAUACCCCAAUUACCACUUGGAAAAACUAUCGUUUUGUGAGAGAACCAAGAACCUUAGUGCGGACAUCAGGGAGCUAGAGCAAGCUCAGCAGGAGCAAAUCCAAUUCACAGAUCUAUAGUGUGAUGAUAUGUUUUUAGACAAGAUUAAAGACUGGGGAAACCUGAUGCUUAAGGAAGGGAACUCAGGUCUAGAAGGUGUGACCAGGAAGAUGAUGUAGAAUCAGAAGAAGGAGCCAACACAGAUCGAUUCUAAAGAGCUAAAAAUAGUCGUGCAACAGUAUUUGGAAGAAAACAUAAACAAGUUUAAAAAGAAUGCGGAAGAUCAAAGCGAAGCAAAAGACAAAGUCAAAAAGGAGAGAAAUGAGGUUUGUUGUUGGCUUCCAGCCACACAGGAAGCUUUAUUCAUUGCUAUCAGAUGUCUUGAGGAUGUUGAGACUGAAGAAAGAAAAGCCUUUCAGAAGCACAUAGAAGAACUUUGAUGUUAUCUCCUUCAAAUAUAGCAUGAAGUAGAAUGAAGAACACGUAUAGGAGGACAGCAUUUGAAGAUGGACUAAAUAUUUCUCUCCUCAGUAUUCAUAAAGGCUGCCUCUCCGUCCAGUGAAUGGUGGGCAAAUCAGUAGUGUGCAAUGUGAAAUACUCCUUCACACAGAGGAAGAUAAAAAUAUCACUAAGAUAUCAGAACCAUGGGACACCACUGGUUCCCCUGCUAUCUCAAAAACAAAGAACCCACGCUAUGGCACACUUCCCAUGUCAUUUCUGCAAUGCCAGACUUCAUGGCAAAACCCUAUUGAUGGUUCCAGCCAUCAAAAAUAAGGUCCAUUCUGCAUCCUACUUGCAUUAUAGAAAGAAAGAAUCCAUCAUUUCAGGACAGAUUAAAAACAAAAGAAAAAAACCACCUGCAGUUGAAGGAAGAGGAAUGCAGCAGUCUUAGAGGAGAAAACUACAAACUUCAUGGCAAACUGAGGAGCACAGAACUGAAGGUUCAAAAUGGAUAUAAUGAAAAUACGGAGAAAGAUGCCAGCUGCCACUGCCACCACAGAAAACUGCACAUGCACUUAGGAUGAUCUGAAUUUUCUGCAGAACACUGAAUGCAAUUAAACGUUACUUGUCU